rnacentral:rRNA from 1 species
UGGGGAAUAUUGGACAAUGGGCGAAAGCCUGAUCCAGCCAUGCCGCGUGUGUGAAGAAGGUCUUCGGAUUGUAAAGCACUUUAAGUUGGGAGGAAGGGCAUUAACCUAAUACGUUAGUGUUUUGACGUUACCGACAGAAUAAGCACCGGCUAACUCUGUGCCAGCAGCCGCGGUAAUACAGAGGGUGCAAGCGUUAAUCGGAAUUACUGGGCGUAAAGCGCGCGUAGGUGGUUUGUUAAGUUGGAUGUGCAAUCCACGGGCUCAACCUGGGAACUGCAUUCAAAACUGACUGACUAGAGUAUGGUAGAGGGUGGUGGAAUUUCCUGUGUAGCGGUGAAAUGCGUAGAUAUAGGAAGGAACACCAGUGGCGAAGGCGACCA